rnacentral:rRNA from 1 species
GAUGAACGCUGGCGGCGUGCCUAAUACAUGCAAGUCGAGCGAACAGAUGAGGAGCUUGCUCCUCUGACGUUAGCGGCGGACGGGUGAGUAACACGUGGAUAACCUACCUAUAAGACUGGGAUAACUUCGGGAAACCGGAGCUAAUACCGGAUAAUAUAUUGAACCGCAUGGUUCAAUAGUGAAAGACGGUUUUGCUGUCACUUAUAGAUGGAUCCGCGCCGCAUUAGCUAGUUGGUAAGGUAACGGCUUACCAAGGCAACGAUGCGUAGCCGACCUGAGAGGGUGAUCGGCCACACUGGAACUGAGACACGGUCCAGACUCCUACGGGAGGCAGCAGUAGGGAAUCUUCCGCAAUGGGCGAAAGCCUGACGGAGCAACGCCGCGUGAGUGAUGAAGGUCUUCGGAUCGUAAAACGCUGUUAUUAGGGAAGAACAAAUGUGUAAGUAACUAUGCACGUCUUGACGGUACCGAAUCAGAAAACCACGGCUAACUACGU